rnacentral:rRNA from 1 species
CUACGGGGCGCACCAGUGAGGAAUAUUGCACAAUGGGGGGAACCCUGAUGCAGCAACGCCGCGUGGAGGAUGACGCAUUUCGGUGUGUAAACUCCUUUUAUAUGUCAAGAAAAUGACGGUAGCAUAUGAAUAAGCACCGGCUAACUCCGUGCCAGCAGCCGCGGUAAUACGGAGGGUGCAAGCGUUACUCGGAAUCACUGGGCGUAAAGGACGCGUAGGCGGGCUUGUAAGUCAGGUGUGAAAUCCUACAGCUUAACUGUAGAACUGCACUUGAAACUAUGAGCCUAGAGUAUGGGAGGGGCAGAUGGAAUUAGUGGUGUAGGGGUAAAAUCCGUAGAUAUCACUAGGAAUACCUAAAGCGAAGGCGAUCUGCUGGAACAUAACUGACGCUAAGGCGUGAAAGCGUGGGGAGCAAACAGGAAUAGAUACCCGAGUAGUC